rnacentral:rRNA from 1 species
UACGGAGGAUCCGAGCGUUAUCCGGAUUCAUUGGGUUUAAAGGGUGCGUAGGUUGUUUUAUAAGUUAGCGGUGAAAUACCGAUGCUCAACAUCGGGGCUGCCGCUGAUACUGUAGGACUAGAGAUCGGAUGCAGCAGGCAGAAUGUGUAGUGUAGCGGUGAAAUGCAUAGAUAUUACACAGAACACCGAUUGCGAAGGCAGCUUGCUAGGCCGGAUCUGACACUGAUGCACGAAAGCGUGGGGAUCGAACAGG